rnacentral:piRNA from 2 species
UGCCAAAUACUUCCUUGAGUCCAACAGCAUC